rnacentral:rRNA from 1 species
GACGUAGGGCGCGAGCGUUGUCCGGAUUUAUUGGGCGUAAAGAGCUCGUAGGCGGCUUGUCGCGUCGUUCGUGAAAACCCGGGGCUCAACUCCGGGCUUGCGGGCGAUACGGGCAGGCUAGAGUUCGGUAGGGGAGACUGGAAUUCCUGGUGUAGCGGUGAAAUGCGCAGAUAUCAGGAGGAACACCGGUGGCGAAGGCGGGAUCCUGGGCCAGUACUGACGCUGAGGAGCGAAAGCGUGGGGAGCAAACAGG